CAGUCGCCACGGUAAUACGUAGGGUGCAAGCGUUAAUCGGAAUUACUGGGCGUAAAGCGUGCGUAGGUGGUGGUUUAAGUCCGUUGUGAAAGCCCUGGGCUCAACCUGGGAAUUGCAGUGGAUACUGGGUCACUAGAGUGUGGUAGAGGAUAGUGGAAUUUCCGGUGUAGCAGUGAGAUGCGUAGAGAUCGGAAGGAACAUCUGUGGCGAAGGCGACUAUCUGGGCCAACACUGACACUGAGGCACGAAAGCGUGGGGAGCAAACAGGAUUAGAUACCCCCGUAGUCCCUGUCUCUUAUAC
rnacentral:rRNA from 1 species